GACGAACGCUGGCGGCGUGCUUAACACAUGCAAGUCGAACGGAAAGGCCCUGCUUGCAGGGUACUCGAGUGGCGAACGGGUGAGUAACACGUGGGUGAUCUGCCCUGCACUUCGGGAUAAGCCUGGGAAACUGGGUCUAAUACCGGAUAGGAGCCAUUUUUAGUGUGAUGGUUGGAAAGUUUUUUCGGUGUAGGAUGAGCUCGCGGCCUAUCAGCUUGUUGGUGUGGUAAUGGCCUACCAAGGCGGCGACGGGUAGCCGGCCUGAGAGGGUGGACGGCCACAUUGGGACUGAGAUACGGCCCAGACUCCUACGGGAGGCAGCAGUGGGGAAUAUUGCACAAUGGGCGCAAGCCUGAUGCAGCGACGCCGCGUGGGGGAUGACGGCCUUCGGGUUGUAAACUCCUUUCGCUAGGGACGAAGCUUUUUGUGACGGUACCUAGAUAAGAAGCACCGGCUAACUACGUG
rnacentral:rRNA from 1 species